AUGAUGGCCAGGCUGUCUCCACCCGAGACUCAGUGAAAUUGAACUCGCUGUGAAGAUGCAGUGUACCCGCGGCAAGACGGAAAGACCCCGUGAACCUUUACUAUAGCUUGACACUGAACAUUGAGCCUUGAUGUGUAGGAUAGGUGGGAGGCUUUGAAGCGUGGACGCCAGUCUGCGUGGAGCCGACCUUGAAAUACCACCCUUUAAUGUUUGAUGUUCUAACGUGGACCCGUGAUCCGGGUUGCGGACAGUGUCUGGUGGGUAGUUUGACUGGGGCGGUCUCCUCCUAAAGAGUAACGGAGGAGCACGAAGGUUGGCUAAUCCUGGUCGGACAUCAGGAGGUUAGUGCAAUG
rnacentral:rRNA from 2 species